UUCUACACCUUUGAUGUUUAUUUCUUUAGCUUUCUGUUCCAAAUAUUCUGAUGAUUACAGCUUGCCGCAAGCUAUCUCGGUAUUAGAGACAAACGCAGAGGUUACUUACGAAACAUUUGACUGAUUAUGUGACUGAAUGCGAAAAUUAUGUUUAAAUAUUUAUUUUAUACUGAUGACAAAUUCAAGAAUUAAUGAUGUAUCUUAAUAGGUGCCCCAAUAUGGCCGUAGUCCAAUAAUUGAAACCAAUAAAAGAAAUGAAAGUGAGAAUGACUGAAGAAAGAAUUGCAGGACAGACUCUACAAUAAAAGCAACCGGUAGUAAACCUAAUGGUAGAACCAUAAACGAGAUGGCUGGAUAAGACUGAAAAAAGAGGAAAAGAAAAGUAUUGUUUCGGUUAUUUAUUUCCUGUCGGAUACUUCAAACAAUCUCAUCAUUUUAUUUACUCAUUCGAUAAAGUAGAAUGCUAUUGGAAUAGCAUUAUCUCCUCAUACAUUCUGAAGAUGCUCCUAACAUCAUGGUAACCAUGAUAUCAGAAUCAGCUCUUGCGACAUCAUGACUUCGGCGCUUGAUCUGCGAUUAUUUAAAACCCAUCGCUUUUAUAUCAACCGUGCUGCUUUUUCAGUAGUGAGUAUACUUGCCGAACUACA